rnacentral:rRNA from 1 species
GAUGAACGCUAGCGGCAGGCCUAAUACAUGCAAGUCGAACGAGAUUAAGAGGCUUGCUUCUUAUGAAAGUGGCGCACGGGUGCGUAACGCGUAUGCAACCUACCUUAAUCAGUGGGAUAGCCCUAAGAAAUUCGGAUUAAGACCGCAUAAAAACACAGGAUAUCAUUAUCCAAUGUUCAAAUAUUUCUAGGAUUAAGAUGGGCAUGCGUGUCAUUAGCUAGUUGGCGGGGUAACGGCCCACCAAGGCGACGAUGACUAGGGGAUCUGAGAGGAUGACCCCCCACACUGGUACUGAGACACGGACCAGACUCAUACGGGAGGCAGCAGUAAGGAAUAUUGGUCAAUGGAGGGAACUCUGAACCAGCCAUGCCGCGUGCAGGAAGACAGCCCUCUGGGUCGUAAACUGCUUUUAUUCGGGAAUAAACCUUUCUACGUGUAGGAAGCUGAAUGUACCGAAGGAAUAAGGAUCGGCUAACUCCGUG